ACUGGAAGGACAGGUCCUGGCACCGAGCUGUGCCCAGGCUGAUGUUUACCACAAACAAUUCCUGGAAAUCCCAAACCUGGUGUUUCAGAGGACGAGGUAUUCAAGGAAAAGCUGUGCUGAAGCUGCUAGCUUCCAAAAAAGCUCUGUUGAGAAGGUGCUGACAAUAAAAGGAUUUUGGGAGAACCAGAACUUGAAGCUGAUAAGUGUUAAAAUGAGUCAGAGGAGAAAAAAGAACAGAUGCACGAUGAAGGCCACCAGAAGCAUCUUGUAAGAGAAAGAAAGUGGUAAGAAUUUUCACCUUUAUCUCUUGGGAAGGCAAAGAGAGGACUGGUAUGAAACCCACCCUGGAGCAAGGAAAACCAACCAAAAAAAAAAAAAAGAAAUCCCUUUCACUGGCAUGGAACCAACAAGCAAAAGGAUGGAAAAAAAAAGAAUGUAUAUGAUCAGCUGAUGCACAAAAAAGUCUGAGCUCAGAUUGGUGCACAGGAUGGCCACAGGAUAUAUAAAAACCUCUUUUUCUUCUGAUUUUCAAUACUCAUAACCUUGCUUCCACUUCCUGUCACAGCCAAGACAAUCGUGGUCUACCUGCAGCUGGGCUAUGCUUUCAAAAUUGAAACUGCAAACUUUCAAGAAAAGGUAAUUAAAAGCCCUCCAACCAAAAUAGGAAAUGUAGAGAGUGAAAAAUCUUUAUGGUGCCAGAAUCAUCAUUCAAAGCCAGUUCCCAAAGUAGCAAGAAUAGCAUUAAAUGUAUAUCUAUAUAUCUUUUUAACCUUUAUACAGACAGCAGGAGCACUGCAGGCUGCAUUUGCAUUUCAUAGCAGGAAACAAAACCAUCCCACAAAGAUUGGAUAAAUCAUCAGAGGAACAAGGAAGUGCCCUCACACAUGCACAUGUUUUUCUGAAAUCACAGAGAAUGAGGAUAAGAGACACACAACCCAAUCUCCAUCUCAAAGGUUCAUUAACUGAGCCCAAGCCUGACUACCUCAAGAGCACUCUAACUGAAAUUUGAAAUAUGGAUUUGUUUCCAACAGCUCUUCUCUCUUUAUUUUUUAUUAUUAUUUUUGGACAAUUGGCUGACCUAGUUUUCAAAUCAUACGACUUUUUUAAGACAAUGCUUGCCAUAGAGGCACAGUAGUUAUGCAGAUUUACUUCCAGGGGUGUUUUGAUUCCAGGGAGGAGGAAGAGUCUGCCAUUCCUGCAAAGCACAUUGUGUAAGGUGAUUGCUCAUUCUGGUUCAGCUUUGUUGACUUCUGUGAAGGUAUAGCAGAUACAGGUAUGGGCAAGUCAGGUUUUUAAACUGAAACCAAAUGAAAAAUUUCUGUGGAAAGCUUAUUUUACAGAAGAACCAAUUUCUACAAGAGACACAUACACCAAAAAAUUCUCAUGUUAAAAUUUUAAUUCUAAUUUUAAAAGUAGGGUUU